CUUGUUCCUCAGUGACUUCUGCUAGAUUGUCAAGCCCUAGACUUCAAUAGUUAAAUAGUGUAUUCUUUCAUGGCAGAACCUAGGACAUAGUUGACUUUGUAUCACUGAACAGGACAGUACUGAAAAUGGAAACUCAUGCACAAGUAUAUCCAAAUAAGUCCGUCUGGGACAUAGCAUCCAACAAGAAAAACUGGGAUCUACACACAGAAGAAAGUAGCAAGGAGAUGCCAGUAAAAUCAAUAAGUACAGAGUGAAUUUGAAGAACAAGGUACUGUGCCAGCUGUUUUGAAACAAAAGGGAUGAUUCAUCCGAAAGAUCCAGCAGAAGAGUCCACAUCAGAGCUUAAGGAGGACUGGAGGUGGGCUCCGACUUCCCGACAUGUUUGGAAGCAGGAGGUAUAUGGGAAACCUCUGUAUUGUCCUCCCAAUAUUGCUGUGAAUCUAAAACUGUUCUAAAAAA